rnacentral:rRNA from 1 species
AUUGAACGCUGGCGGCAUGCCUUACACAUGCAAGUCGAACGGCAGCGGGGACUUCGGUCCGCCGGCGAGUGGCGAACGGGUGAGUAAAGCAUCGGAACGUACCCUUCAGUGGGGGAUAACUAUCCGAAAGGAUAGCUAAUACCGCAUAUUCUCUGAGGAGGAAAGCGGGGGACCUUAUGGCCUCGCGCUGAUGGAGCGGCCGAUGUCAGAUUAGCUAGUUGGUGAGGUAAAGGCUCACCAAGGCGACGAUCUGUAGCGGGUGUGAGAGGAUGAUCCGCCAAACUGGGACUUAGACACGGCCCAGGCGCCUACGGGAGGCAGCAGUGGGGAAUUUUGGACAAUGGGGGAAACCCUGAUCCAGCCAUGCCGCGUGAGUGAAGAAGGCCUUCGGGUUGUAAAGCUCUUUCGGCCGGGAAGAAAUCGCGCAGGCUAAUACUCUGUGUGGAUGACGGUACCGGAAUAAGAAGCACCGGCUAACUACGUGCCAGCAGCCGCCGUAA